GGCUGGUCCGAUGGUACAAGGUUAUCAGAACUUUAUUAACAUUAGCGUCACAGAAGUUAUUAUGCAACUCUCCACCGCUAAAUUUGACUGACUUAUA
rnacentral:Y_RNA from 1 species